rnacentral:rRNA from 1 species
AACGGACGCUGGCGGCAUGCCUAACACAUGCAAGUCGAACGAGACCUUCGGGUCUAGUGGCGCACGGGUGCGUAACGCGUGGGAACCUGCCCUUAGGUUCGGAAUAACUCCCCGAAAGGGGUGCUAAUACCGGAUAAUGUCUUCGGACCAAAGAUUUAUCGCCUUUGGAUGGGCCCGCGUUGGAUUAGCUAGUUGGUAGGGUAAAAGCCUACCAAGGCGACGAUCCAUAGCUGGUCUGAGAGGAUGAUCAGCCACACUGGGACUGAGACACGGCCCAGACUCCUACGCGAGGCAGCAGUGGGGAAUAUUGGAAAAUGGGCGAAAGCCUGAUACAGCAAUGCCGCGUGAGUGAUGAAGGCCUUAGGGUUGUAAAGCUCUUUUACCCGGGAUGAUAAUGACAGUACCGGGAGAAUAAGCUCCGGCUAACUCCGUG